rnacentral:rRNA from 2 species
CUGCGGAAGGAUCAUUACCUAGAGUUGUAGGCUUUGCCUGCUAUCUCUUACCCAUGUCUUUUGAGUACCUUACGUUUCCUCGGCGGGUCCGCCCGCCGAUUGGACAAUUUAAACCAUUUGCAGUUGCAAUCAGCGUCUGAAAAAACUUAAUAGUUACAACUUUCAACAACGGAUCUCUUGGUUCUGGCAUCGAUGAAGAACGCAGCGAAAUGCGAUAAGUAGUGUGAAUUGCAGAAUUCAGUGAAUCAUCGAAUCUUUGAACGCACAUUGCGCCCCUUGGUAUUCCAUGGGGCAUGCCUGUUCGAGCGUCAUUUGUACCUUCAAGCUCUGCUUGGUGUUGGGUGUUUGUCUCGCCUCUGCGUGUAGACUCGCCUCAAAACAAUUGGCAGCCGGCGUAUUGAUUUCGGAGCGCAGUACAUCUCGCGCUUUGCACUCAUAACGACGACGUCCAAAAGUACAUUUUUACACUCUUGACCUCGGAUCAGGUAGGGAUACCCGCUGAACUUAAGCAUAUCAAUAAGCGGAGGA